CCAGGAAUGUGCUGCUUCAGAUGCUGAAAUGUCAAUGUCCUGUUAUCUGCUUCAAUGCUAAGGAUUUUGUGAAGACUGUGCUGUAGUUUCUUGGUAACGAUUGCAGUUGGAAGCAAGUUGCAAAGUUUGUGGGACUGGACCCCAGAAUUGCCUUCUGGCUGCUAGAUCAUAGUGACACUGCACCUUCUUUCAAAGAGUUAGUAGGGAAAUACUUGGAAAGCGUGACCACAGUGAAUGUGAGCAGCACCUAUAGAAACUCAUCAAGAAAUACUGUGAAUCAGAACAUCUGUGCCAACAUGAGGGUCCUCCAUAGCCUGAUCAUGCUCCUUUGUUCUCAGCUGAAGGCAAGAUGUUUCCCUGACUCAGUCCCUCCUGCUUUCUGCUGUUAUUCGC